rnacentral:misc_RNA from 1 species
AUUUCGUCCGCGUUCAGAAGCCUUGACAUUUAUUUAACACCUUCAUCCCCAGUGCCACUCUUUCCAUCGGUAGCCUACCUACUUACUUUCUUCGCACACACGCACACAGAUGAGAGUGGAGAGCACAACCACAUUGCUGGAGGAUCUGGUAGAGAAGGCCGGCGGCUCUGCCGUCAUCGAUGGUGGUUUUGCCACCCAGCUCGAGAGACACGGCGCCGCCAUUAACAACCCUCUUUGGAGCGCUCUUUGUUUGAUCGAAGAUCCAGACCUGAUCAAAAGGGUGUCUCUCUUUGCCUCUGCUAUUUAUAUACAUUAUAUUGAAAGCUCUGUUUUUGUGGGUUUUUGAAAUUAUUUUCAAAUUUUGAUUUUGUUAAGGAUAUUGUACAGGUUCACUUGGAAUAUUUGGAGGCUGGUGCAGACGUUUUGAUCACUUCUUCUUACCAGGUUUUGUGUCUUUGCAAAGUUAAGAUAAAGUUCGAUUUUUUAUGUGCUCAAUUUAUGCCCUGUUUCUAUUCUACAACAUAAGCUUUCAAUUUUUGUUUUAAAAAGGUCAACGCCUAAUAUAAGAAACAUGGUUAGAUUGCGAUAUCAAUAUAAUGCAUAAUCAUGAGUGAUUGGAUUUGGAGUUGCUUGGACCUUUGGAGAAAUAGAAAAAUGAUGAGAUACAGAAGCAGAAGGGCUGGUCAUUUAACUGAUAGUGCUGUCAUAAAUGCUGUAAUAUAGACUUGGGUUUGUUGGGGGUUGUAUGAUGUGGUUUUAGUUUCAUCUUACAUGUUCAGGCUACUCUUCCUGGAUUUGCAUCCCAGGGAUUGUCCAUUGAAGAAGGAGAGUUCUUACUAAAGAAGAGCGUUAAAUUGGCUGUUGAAGCCCGUGAUAAGUUCUGGGAUGCAGUGAAAAGUAAUCCUGUACAUAGAUAUAACCGAGCUUUGGUUGCAGCCUCCAUUGGAAGCUAUGGAGCUUAUCUUGCUGAUGGAUCAGAGUACAGUGGACUGUAUGGGCCAGACGUGAAUCUGGAAAAGCUCAAGGAUUUUCAUCGACACAGAUUGCAAGUUCUUGUGGAAGCAGGUCCUGAUCUAUUGGCCUUUGAGACAAUUCCCAAUAAACUAGAAGCAAAGGCAUGUUCUUCUCCCAUUUCUACUUCAUAGGGUGUCUCAUUCUUAUGGCAAGUUGAUGAAAUUGAGGAAAAGUUAGCUGAUUGAAGCCUUAGGAGUGAACAAGAUGGGAGGUAAUUCAAAAUUGGUCUGAAAGCUAUUGAUUAAAUAUACAAUAAACAAAAAAGGGGCUGAAAGUUGUAAAAGUUCAUACGAUUUGAAGGCUGUUGAUUAAAUAUAAAAGUUUCCUUCUUAUAGAUUAGAAUCACACACAGAUUUUAUAAUGUUUACAAUGUUGGUUUGCAGAGUGCUAGUAUUGUUAUUUGCUACAGUAACAAAGGGUACAGUUUUUCUUGAGCCUAGUCUAGAAGUGCUAUAAAAUUUAUACAUUUAACGUGCCCUGCACAACGCAACUUGUUACCUGAAAAAGAAAAUAUUGCUAUGUGGCCAAUAGCUCAUAUUGAACAACUUCUUUAUUUUUUUUUGUUUAUUGGGGUAGGUGCUUACAGUAGCUACAGAAGAUCAUUGAGAACAAAUCUUUUAUAGACUGUAGAAAGAGUUACGUUAGAUAAAUGAAUGUGCAUAAUUUGGUGAAUGGUGUAAAGCACUUCAGGCAUUAAAUGUGUCAAAUCCUGUAUUUUUUGUUUUCAAUCAGAGGGAGAGUCAAAAGUAAAUGUUUGAAUGACAUACCAACUAAAUGAAAAGAUUUUCGUUGAUGAUAUGCAUGGUUGUUGAACUCUUUUUUUCAUUAAUAAGAUUUUUUAUUGGUAAUAUGUAUAAAACUAUUGCAAUUCUAACCUCUUUCUUAUUCUUUCAUUUUGUAUUGCCUAUUAAUGACAUCUGAAUAACAAUUUGCAGGCCUGUGUUGAGUUGCUUGAAGAAGAAAACAUCAACAUUCCAUCCUGGAUUUGCUUCAGCACAGUGGACGGUGAGAAUGCACCAUCUGGGGAGAGUUUUCAAGAGUGCCUUGAAAUGAUAAACAAGAGCAACAAAGUAAAUGCAGUUGGAAUUAACUGUGCCCCUCCCCAUUUUAUUGAAAGUCUCAUAUGCAAAUUUAAGAAGUUGACUGAGAAGUUGAUAAUUGUGUAUCCCAACAGCGGUGAGGUUUGGGAUUGCAGAGCUAAAAGAUGGCUGCCAUCAACUUGUUUUGCUGAUGACAAAUUUGAGAUGUCUGCAACACGAUGGCAUGAGUUAGGAGCUAGCCUUAUUGGAGGCUGCUGUCGAACCACACCUUCUACCAUUCGAGCCAUUUCAAAGGUUUUGAAAGAAAGAGAGUGAGCUGGACAGGCUUUGAAUUCAAUGGCUUCAGGAAAAGCUACACCACCGUUUAUAUAUUUCAUCUUGUAAUUCUCAUUUAUUAGCUUGUAGGUGAAUAGUUUUGGAAUUUUGGAUUUUGCAAAAUGAGUUGCAUAUCCAACCUUUCUUUCGCCGCUAGGCAGAAAGGAAUUUUGCAUUUUCUAUUUUACCUUAUAAAAGUUAAUUUAUCACAAGCUCUUUACCAUUGAAAUUUAGUAAUUUAGUUCAUCAGCGAGAGGGUGGUAAAGACAAUUCCAAUAACUCCAAAUUCCUGUGUCAUUUAGUGGCCCUUUUUCAACCUAUUCUGCCAAUAAUCUAAUGCUAAAUUGCC